UACGUAGGGCGCAAGCGUUGUCCGGAAUUAUUGGGCGUAAAGAGCUCGUAGGUGGCUGGUCGCGUCUGCCGUGAAAGCCCGCAGCUUGAACUGCGGGUCUGGCGGUGGAUACGGGUCGGCUAGAGGUAGGUAGGGGCAAGUGGAAUUCCUGGUGUAGCGGUGAAAUGCGCAGAUAUCAGGAGGAACACCGGUGGCGAAGGCGGCUCUG
rnacentral:rRNA from 1 species